CUCUCUCUCUGCUUUCAUGCAAUAUUAAAUAAGGAUAACUUUCUCUUAUCAAGAAACAUUUUAAUUAAUACAUAUCUACAUAUAUAUAUAUAUAUAUAAAUAUUCUAUUUCAAUUAAAACCAAGAUUGGUAUUAACUGGAUAAAACUUUAUUUAAUUCCAAUACGUAAAUUCUGAACUAACGAGAGAUAGAGAUAGAGAUAGAGAUAGAGAUAGAGAUAGAGAUAGAGAGAUAGAUAGAGAGAGAUAGAGAGAGAGAGAAAGAGAGAGGAAUGAAAUAAAGAAAAAAAAGGAAAGUACCGAGAAACGCCAUAGAAGUGAGCUGGUAUCGGUCUGAUGCGAUGCGGCGGCCAUGUUGGAGUGCAUGCAACGAUGCAGUAGACUUGCCAACAUAUGAUUAUGGUGGGCGCAACUAAGGCUCCUCGUGCAAGAAAAUUGGACGAAGGGCACUCUUCUUGUUGGAGGAAGACGAACGGAACUCCUGAUACAUGUAUUUGAAACAUCAUAAUGAUUAGCCCUUUGGUCACCCAGUACGAUGAAAUUGAGCUUUCGUGGGAUUCAACCGGUGCAUCAUUAAGAGACCCCCUACAUGCGGAACUUUUCCUAUUCUAUAGGCUAAAAGGAAGCAUGGAUAUUCCUUCAUAACGAAGGGUAGAUCCUACAUCUAUCGAUCGAAAAUAAAUUUUUCUUUGUCUUGCGUGUCAUCGUAUAUCUAACAACGAGCGAAUUAUUAUUUCGAAAUGAAAAAUGUCAAAAAGAUAUAUCUUAAUUCGAAAUAAAACAACGAUAUACAACAAUAAUAAUAAUUACUUAUUGUUCACGUCAAAACAAUUUUCAAGCAUUUUUAAACACGAACGAGUUUGCCACAUAGGCAUAGUUACUUUCUUGACACCGUAUAUAAUCGAUGUGGUAAACCACCGACAACUUCAGGAGAGGUAGCAGUGGAGGGAUCACGCUACAUUACGUUCCAUUAUCUCACAUUCGCUUUUUCAAAGAGGACAUAAGAGCGCAGGACCGUACACAAAGAUUACCUACCGCAGUUUAUAUCUCGUAAAGAUGGGCGCGGUAAUUCCGGCUUUCUUCCGUGGGCCACACCACCGACUUCAAGAUAGGAACCAAUAAGUAUCGAAGCUUGAGGGAAGGAGUAAAAAGGGAGUAGGAAAAGCAAGUUCUUCAGUAUUUCUUAUCAGCGAAUUAACAGCCGUUGCUACCUCAUCAGUGAUAGCAGUCGUUGGCCUCCUUACUCCAUCGAGCGACGAUGAUGAGCCAACGUCAUGGGAAGUGGCAGGUGUCAAUCGCUGUCUGUCUCAUUCUCUGAAAAGGAGAAAUUUAUCCUUAAACGAUUUCCAUGUUAUAAUAUCCAGAUGAUAUCGUUUGUUAAUUCGAAAUUUCAACUGUAAACUGACGAAU